GUGGGGAAUAUUGCACAAUGGGCGAAAGCCUGAUGCAGCAACGCCGCGUGAGGGACGACGGCCUUCGGGUUGUAAACCUCUUUUAGUAGGGAAGAAGCGAAAGUGACGGUACCUGCAGAAAAAGCACCGGCUCACUACGUGCCAGCAGCCGCGGUAAUACGUAGGGUGCAAGCGUUAUCCGGAAUUAUUGGGCGUAAAGAGCUCGUAGGCGGUCUGUCGCGUCUGCUGUGAAAACUGGAGGCUCAACCUCCAGCCUGCAGUGGGUACGGGCAGACUAGAGGGCGGUAGGGGAGAUUGGAAUUCCUGGUGUAGCGGUGGAAUGCGCAGAUAUCAGGAGGAACACCGAUGGCGAAGGCAGAUCUCUGGGCCGUAACUGACGCUGAGGAGCGAAAGCGUGGGGAGCGAACAGGAUUAGAAACCCCAGUAGUCC
rnacentral:rRNA from 1 species